CCUUUCGUAGCUUAAUGAUAAGAACAUUGGUGUACAAAGUCAAAGGUCCCGGGUUCGAUUCUCGGCGAGGGCG
rnacentral:tRNA from 1 species